CGACCCGCCCCUCCCUAGGCCCGAGGACGCGCCCGCAGCAGGCGAACGGCUUCGGGUGCCAGGAGCUCAGCAAGCUGGGGACCCCCUGGGCGAGGAGUACAAAGGACCCCAGGCGAAGCCGGCGCCGGGAGGCAGAGCUGACUCCCGCGGGACUCUACCGGCCUGCGAGCGUUCGUCACGUGCUCGGUGGCUGAGGGGCCGUCCCGGCCGGGCGGGCUUCACCGCGUGGGCGCGGCAGUCGCCACUCACCGAGGUUGACGACCUUGAGCGCCGUGAAGAAGCGGUUCUGCCGGGCCAGGCGUGGGUUCUCACUAUGUUGCUUAAGCUGGUCCAGAACUCAAGCCAGUCUCUCACUUCAGCCUCUUGAGUCGUUGGGAUUACAGAAGCCACCAUGUCCAACUAGACAAGAUCUUGUUGCCCAGGCUGGUCUCAAACUCCUGCGUUCAAAUGAUACUCUCGCCUUGGCCUCCAAAAGUGUUGGGAUUGCAGACCUGAGCUACUAUGCCUGGCUGAAUUCUAUUUCUAUUGGAUUGGUUGUAAAGAAGUGCAUUGUAGCCUGCAAAGGAGCAGGGCCAGUGGGGUGGAGAGGGCAGAAGUGCUACAGAGGCCCCUGCUCUCCACUGCCCUGACUGCUACUGUGCUGGAUGCCGUGUGAACCACAGCUGCAUCUGGAGGCCUUGGGCAGCACCUAACAGGAAGCCAGAGUAGGUCCUCUGAAGGUGUUUGUUCAAUGAACUUGUCAUCCUCCUCAACUUAAAGCCUUUAGCUUUUCCAAUUUGGAGGCACAAAUAAGUGAGAACUUGGGGAUCCACUGAGGUCUGAGGCACGGUGGUACCAGAGGAGAUGAAGGGGCUUUCAGCAUGAAGCUGGUCCCCUGUCGACAGCACGCUGAUUUUCCCGUUGGGCUCUAUCAGCAUGUCCACUGUGAGACCAUGCUUGUGAAAAUACCAGGACGGUAAAUUAGUGAAUUCCAAAGUCAGGAUUUUUGUUGGAUCUGGCACAGUCACAGGAAAGUCUGAGUUUUCUCAAGGGCAUCCCUGUCUCACCGAGGGGCACCAAGGACAGACGACCAGAAGCAAAUGGCGCAGUCACCGUCAGAGGAGAGUAAAACUCAUUCUGAAACGGUUCCAAAUGCCCAUGCCUGCUCUGUGGUUUUCAGCAAAGCGGACCUUUCCAAAAGACCUCCAACAGGGACUUCCUGGAUGUGAGAACACUAACCAAUUCUCGUUCCUCUCAUCUUUUGCUUUAUUCCUUCCUUCCAUGCUGUUAUUGCGAAAAACUGGUAGUUAAAUUCAAUUGAUUCAAAAUAUUCGGGAUCCAUAUGGCCGCCAACCCUGGAGCUGAAGCGGCGAUAGCGCCUCACUGCUGUUUUCAAGCAUUUGCCUCUCCUCCAGUCCCCAGAUGGUGGGAGUAACAUUUAAACCUCCUUUUCUCUGCCUUGUACAAUAGACCUUGGCACCAUUUCAACUGUUUACUCCGGUAAUUAACAGCUCUGAUACCACAACAAUUACAACUCCUACACUCUCACCACAAUAAUGCUAUGAAUUAGUGAGAGCUAAUGGCUGGAAGGUAGAGUGUUUCCAGACUGUGGGAUCUGUGCAUUUUUAGAAUAAAAUAAAAGGUACAAACAGCACGCUUGCAGUAGACAAUGAUUACCUAGUAAUUAGUUUACACAAAGCUUCCUAUUUAAUGGCAAAACGCUGUAAUUAACGUGUGACAGAAAAUCAAAGGGUACUUUGUAAGCAUAUUAAAAAUUAACACUGCAGGCCCAUAGCUUUAUGUACUGAUUAGAAGCAUAUUAAAUCAAUAGGACACACAAACCAACAGCUUGGGUAGCUGAUUAUUAUAGGUCCUCAGAAGGGGUACCCUGGCUUUCAUUUCACUUGGGGAGGCAAUUUUCCUUCUCCUGUCAUCUUCCUCAGGCACAGAGAAACACCUCAAACUCAACCCUGGCAGCUUCAUGAAAAUAACCACUGAACUGGAAGAAAACAUUCUAAGUCAUUCUCAGAGAUGAAGACAAAUAUGUAAAUGAUUAAGACUUUCCAAUGAUUGUGGUGACGUGCUGCUACACUAAUUAGAAAAUACACCAACUGGAACCAGAAAAUAAAGCCACUGGGUUGCAAUCUUCCGGUCAGAAUAAUCUCUACUUUGUCAAGCCUCUUUAUUCAACUCAUAGAAAGUUCAAAUAAAUGGAACUGUUUUAUAUUUCUAAAUGAUAAGAAAGCAGGCUGCUAUGAAGACUUAUUCUUUCCAAGGCACUGUCUGGGUAAAGCAUAGGCUGGGAACAACUGGAUCAACCAACAUUCUGUAUCUUCAACAGCCACAACCCCAUAUAAUGAUGGCUGAUGGACAUAGACAGCAAUAUCCUGGAAGCCUACCAGAGCCUAAAGAACCUUCUGAAUCACCAAAGAAAGAUUAAGUUGUAUGUACUUGUUCAAUGUUACCUGUAUUUUGUUAUAAUACAAUUUUAUGGUAAUAAUAACAACAAUAAUAAUAGGUAGCAUUUCUUAAAGUCUUAUUAUGUGCUAAGCACACUGCUAGCCAAUUCAUAGAAUUAUCUCAUUUACUUGUCACCACUUCCCCAUGAGACAGGUACUAAUCUCUCUUUACAGAUAGAGAAAGGGAGACUUGGAGAGCUGAAGUAAUUUGCCUAUAGUUAUCCCCCAGGGAGCAUGGGAGUCUAACCUAGGUGUCCCUGGCUAUGGAACCCCAGGAAGCCAAACUACCUCUUAGUUACCCUGAAUGACUAGCCUGUUCCAACACUCAUUCUGCUUAAAAGGCAGUUUACUAUGUCAACCUGGAAUAGGAGACUAAAAAAAUUAAAACAAAAACAAAAUAUUUGGUUGCUUAUUUUUUUAAAAAACAGGGUGUUUCUGCUUUUAGAGAUAGGAGUCUUGUUCUGUCACCCAGGCUGGAGAGUGGUGGUGCAGUCAUGACUCAUUGCAGCCUCAAACUCCUGGGCUCGAGUGAUCCUCUUUCUUCAGGCUCCUAAGUAGCUGGAACUACAGGCACACACCUAAUUUUUAAAUUUUUUGUAGAGAUAGGGUCUCACUAUAUUGCCCAGGCUGGUCUUGAACUCCUGGCCUCAAGCCAACUCCCACCUCAGCCUUCCAAAGUGUUGGGAUUACAAAAUAUUACAGGAGUGAUCGACUGCACUGGGCUAAAAACAAGGGUUUUAAAUGCUUACCAUAUUUUUAAUGCUACAUCUGAUUGUGAAGGUGGGCUACUCAAAGCUUUUUGGGAAUUUACAGGCUCACUAAAAUGAUCACGAUAGUGUAUUAAAUUGAGAAAGGCAUUGAAAAUCUGUCAUUCCCAUGAACAACCAAAGGGUGAUGUCUAAAAUUCUCUCUCAUCACCCAUGCACAUAACCAGGUAUAUGAGGCAGUUGGGUUGCAAGAGCUGAAUCCUAGAAACUCCUAGGCAGGGCUCCUCCUCUCCAGCUCUGAGGUGUGUGUAUUGAUGGCCCCCUACACCUCCCAGUUUGCUGCCUUGUGGGAAAAGGAGACCAGCUCUUCUGUUAUCUAGGAAAGGGAAGAAAUUUGAGAGCAGUGGCCUCUGUGUUCCAGGAAUAUUUGCGUUUCCCACAAAUCUCUGGAAAGCAGAAAGCUUGCCACAAGGGCAGCACACGGUAUGAGUCACAAAGGCAAGGACCUGAGGGAGAACACUUCCCAGGACUUUCAAAUAAGGUCUUUCCUAAAUGUACUUGGCUCAGUGUGGCAAAAGCACUGGGCUAGCAGCAGUCAGAUGUGGGUUCAAAGCAAGGCACAAUCAUUUAUUAGCUAUAAAUUUGGGCAAGUCACUUCUUGAGAAUAAGUUUCUUCAUCUGUAAACAGAAGUAAUACCUUCCUUAUAUCUUAAAUUGGUGUGGAAGUAAAUGAGUAAAAACCUCAGGGUUUUUCUGAGUUUAAAUGAGACAAUUCAUGUAACGUGCUUAGCACAAUACCUGGUACCCAGUAGGUACUCUGCAGUAUUUAUUGAUGAUGAUGAUGAUGAUGAUGAUGAUGAUGAUGAUGACAAAGAAAUACAAGGAAAUGUCAACACCUUAACAGUGCAUUCAUAGAUCUACAAAAUGCUUAAUCUCAGUGUUCUGGCAACCACUAAAUACAUAAAGAUAAUCUAAGACAUCAAGAUUUCAACAUAUAAAAAUAAAUAUAAAAACAAGUGAACAAUAAUCAUUUAUAUGUAGUUUCAUGACUGGAAAAAAUAAUAACCUAGAUUUUUUCUUAACCUAGAAAAUCUAGAUUAAAAAAUAAAGAUCUUGCAUUUUUGAUAUAAAACACAAAUAAUAAGGACAUGAAAAAAGAAUAUCCCUUGCUAGUAAUCAAAUAAUAGCAAUGAGAAGCUGGAUUCUUAUAUCUAAAAUAAAAGUGCAAAUAGUUCAUAAUAUCCAUUGGUGGUAAGGUUGUGGUAAAACUAGUAUUCUUAUUCUCUGCCAGUUGCUUUGGAAAUUGGUACUAUCUUUUUAGGAAUAUGGCAAUAUGUAACAAAAGCCAUAAAAUAUUCUACUCCUGGGUCUUUCUCCUCGGGAAGUAACUCAACAGAAGCAAAAAGAGGUGUAUACAAAAACCAAAUAUAAAAACAAACAAAUCUUUCCUCCCUCUUUCCUCCCACUGCCAAAAAAUGAAAGCUGGGAAUAGCCUAAAUUUCCAACUUAGUUGAAUUGUUCAAUAUAUUAGAGUUCAUCAAUAUGAGAGAAUAUUAUGCAUCUAAUAAUUGUGACGACUAUGUAUAAACAUGGAAAAUAUUUAAGAUCUGAUGUUUAACUAGCAUAUACACUAUUAUUGUAGCUAUGAGAAAGAAAUACUGCAUAUUUAGAAAUUAAUAUACAAAAAUGAAAACAACUAUGUUUGGGGACAGUGAUUAUGUACUUUUAAAUUUUUUUUAAUCUUGUUAUCUUUAAACUUUUCUAAAAAUGAUGUGAUUACAAGCAAUGGCUCUUUGGGAUCACCUAAUAAAUACCUACUAAAUUCUAGACGGGACAACGAGCUCUGCCAUCCUGCAAUGGCUCCUGUGACCUAGUUCCAGGGCCAUUCUGAAUGGACAGAGGUCUUCACAAUGGAGGUGGAGAUGCAGGGAGCUCUAUGGCAUGAAAUGGUUAAUGAUUCUCUUUUGUAAUUGUGUUUUCUGUUUGCUGCCUUAGUUCUAAAAGGAGGCAAAACAACUGUGGUUUAUUCUACCUUUUCCAGGCAUAGUUCUUCUCCUACCUUUGUGAUCCCCAAAUUAAUAUCAAAUGUCUAAUUAGUUUUUUUCUCCAUUGGUGAUCCCCAAAUUAAUAUCAAAUGUCAGACAAAGUAAAUCAAAGUACAAAUAAAGGUAAAACUGCUCUUGCAAAGGGCUAAAAUAGCAAUGUUUACUAGAAGCAUUCAAGAGCCAGUUCAAUUUCCUAUUUCUCAUUAAGUGGUAAAAUAGUAAUGCCAAGACCACAUCCCAGAAUCUCCAGGGUAACAGAGGCCCAACGAAGGGCUGCAGAGAAACUUGAAAGUAAACUGGCUUAGUUCUUUACACACAGAAAUUGUUCUACAAAGAUCUCUUGCAAAGCAGUGUCACCAGUAGCAUCACUGCCACUAAGCCAAUGUCCCAGGAAUUGAGGAAAGGAAGACACCCUUAAAGAAAAAAAUGGAAAAAAGCCACAAGGACUGGUACCACAGUAAAUGUCUGCCUGGGUCUCCCUAAACUGUCUUAGGUGAGCUUACCCAGGAAUGUUUCUCCCCUACAUGUUUGCCUUCCUUUGUUUAAGCCUUUAUUCCUCCUAAAUGAAA
rnacentral:lncRNA from 1 species